GCCUGCCCAAUGGUUGUAUCUAAAAGCGGUUGAUAAAAGUCGACCUCGUAAGGACAAUUGAAUGGCCGCGGUAACACUGACCGUGAUAAUGUAGCGUAAUCAAUAGCCAAUUAAUUGUUGGCCAGUAUGAAUGGCGCCACGAAGGCCCCACUGUCUUAAGGAAAUUCCCAGUGAAAUUGAAUUCGUAGUGAAGAUGCUACGUGCAAUUUGUUAGACGAAAAGACCCCGUUGAGCUUUACUGGAGCACUUACAUGGCCCUGGCCUUCCCAUGCUUGGGAACCGGCCGAAUUUCCCUAUCAAAUGAUAGGCUACUAGAAAAUGGGCGGCUUAGAUUAUGUGGCAGCCCCCCGCUGGGGCCAAUGAAACCCCACUCCCCCAUGUCAAAGGGGCUAACCCCCCCCCUUGGGGGGACAGUGUAAGUAGGACAGUUUGGUUGGGGCGACCGCCUUUUAAAGAGUAACGAAGGUGCGCUUAAGGUGCGCAAUUAAUGACUGAAGCCUGACUGCGAGGGGGACACCCCGAGCAGACACCCCAAAGCCCGCCCGAAGGGCGGCGGUGGGGUGG
rnacentral:rRNA from 1 species